rnacentral:rRNA from 1 species
UAUGGUAAUGCCAGCCGCCGCGGUAAUACGUAGGUGGCAAGCGUUGUCCGGAAUUAUUGGGCGUAAAGGGCGCGCAGGCGGUUUCUUAAGUCUGUCUUAAAAGUGCGGGGCUUAACCCCGUGAGGGGACGGAAACUGGGAGACUUGAGUAUCGGAGAGGAAAGCAGAAUUCCUAGUGUAGCGGUGAAAUGCGUAGAUAUUAGGAGGAAUACCAGUGGCGAAAGCGGCUUUCUGGACGACAACUGACGCUGAGGCGCGAAAGCCAGGGGAGCGAACGGG